AGGGGGGAAGGGAGGGGGAGCCAGGCGGCCGCCUGUCCUGCCCACCUGGGCAGCCAUCCAGUCAGCUCCUGGCCCCGAGACUGGCACAGCCUGGGGCCCUGGUGCGGCUGGGAGUGGGAGCAGAUUGUCGUCUGGAACCGAUCUCGGUCCCCUUACCUGGAGGAGCCCCAGCUGGAGUAGCAGGACACAGGGUCCGAAGUCCGGCGCUGUCUAGGAACCUCAGCAGGUGCCAGGGGAGAGACAAACUCUACAGCCCCGAAAGCGAAGAUCUAGAGUCCUCAUGACCUGGGAGGGAGAAGCUGGGACCUGGAAGAUCAGAGAAAAGGGACUCGCCAACGCUUCCCCACACCCCUUCCCAAACCUGUUUUCCUGGAAAAAAACCAGAGUGGACUACGUGAAGAAGUGGGGAAAGAGGCAAGGUCACCUGACCCACUGGAUAUCUUGUGAAAAACAAGGUAGACAAUUCACUCAAUCAAUCCUUCAUUUGCUCAACUAAUAUCUGUUAAGUACCUACUCUGUGCCAACCGCAUGCUUGGCACUGGGGAUACAAUGAGCAACAAAACAGAUCCCACCGUUAUCUUCAUGCAGCCCAAUCAGGGAGACUGAUGUUAAUCAAAGAACCAGGGCUUCCCUGGUGGUCCGGUCAUUAAGAAUCCACCUUACAAUGCAAGGACGUCAAUUCAACCCCUGGUCUAGGAAGAGCCCACGUGCCAUGGAGCACCUAAGCCUGUGUACCACAACUACUAAAGCCCGCAUAC